rnacentral:rRNA from 1 species
AUUGAACGCUGGCGGCAUGCCUUACACAUGCAAGUCGAACGGCAGCACGGACUUCGGUCUGGUGGCGAGUGGCGAACGGGUGAGUAACGUAUCGGAACGUACCAUUCAGUGGGGGAUAACUAUCCGAAAGGAUAGCUAAUACCGCAUAUUCUGUGCGCAGGAAAGCAGGGGACCCUCGGGCCUUGCGCUGAUUGAGCGGCCGAUAUCAGAUUAGCUAGUUGGUGAGGUAAAGGCUCACCAAGGCGACGAUCUGUAGCGGGUCUGAGAGGAUGAUCCGCCACACUGGAACUGAGACACGGUCCAGACUCCUACGGGAGGCAGCAGUGGGAAUUUUGGACAAUGGGGGCAACCCUGAUCCAGCAAUGCCGCGUGAGUGAAGAAGGCCUUCGGGUUGUAAAGCUCUUUUGUCAGGGAAGAAACGGUGAUUUCUAAUACAGAUUGCUAAUGACGGUACCUGAAGAAUAAGCACCGGCUAACUACGUG